CCUACGGGAGGCAGCAGUGAGGAAUUUUGCGCAAUGGGGGCAACCCUGACGCAGCAACGCCGCGUGAGUGAAGAAGGCCUUUGGGUCGUAAAGCUCUGUCAACAGGGAAGAAGUUACAAUUGUUUAAUAGAUGGUUGUAUUGACGGUACCUGUGGAGGAAGCGCCGGCUAACUCCGUGCCAGCAGCCGCGGUAAU
rnacentral:rRNA from 1 species